rnacentral:tRNA from 1 species
GGUAAGGUGGCCGAGAACAGGCAGUGGGUUGUAGCCCCAAAAACAGAGGUUCAAGUCCUCUUCUUACCA